GCUCGCAAUGCUAGAACAAUAAAAGCAAAAAUGUCAUACAAAUCCACACCAAGUGCUUGGCCAAAGGAAAAGACAAAAGCAUCAUCUUCUAAUUUGAGGGCAGCCAAUGCUCCUUAAUACAUAGAAAUGGGGAAGAGGAAAAGAUUGAUUUCGAAGAGUAUAAAGAGGAUGAAGAAAAGAAGAGAACCUUAAAAGUCAUGAAUCUAAA
rnacentral:misc_RNA from 1 species